GACGAACGCUGGCGGCGUGCCUAAUACAUGCAAGUAGAACGCACAGUUUAUACCGUAGCUCGCUUCACCAUAGACUGUGAGUUGCGAAUGGGUGAGUAACGCGUAGCUAACCUGCCUGGUAGCGGGGGAUAAAUAUUGGAAACGAAAGCUAAUACCGCAUAAUAUUAAUUAUUGCAUGAUAAUUAAUUGAACGGUGCAAUUGCACCACUAGCAGACGGACCUGCGUUGUAUUAGCUAGUAGGUGAGGUAACGGCACACCUAGGCGAGGAUACAUAGCCGACCUGGGAGGGUGAUCGGCCACACUGGGACUGGGACACGGCCCAGACUCCUACGGGAGGCAGCAGUAGGGCAUCUUCGGCAAUGGACGAAAGUCUGACCGAGCAACGCCGCGUGAGUGAAGAAGGUUUUCGGAUCGUAAAGCUCUGUUGUAAGAGAAGAACGGGUGUGAGAGUGGAAAGUUCACACUGUGACGGUAUCUUACCAGAAAGGGACGGCUAACUACGUG
rnacentral:rRNA from 1 species